UGUUGAUAUACGAUCUGGAAUAACAAAAACCGCAAGGAGGUGGUCAGAUGAAAGUAUAUUUGGCAACCGAGCUUAUUUUUUAUUCGAGGGUAAUCCUUGGGAACUAAUUAUUCGGAAUAGCCAAAUAUCAGACACCGGGGUGUACAGAUGUCGGGUUGAUUUCAUCAAAGCACAAACCUACAAUAGUCGAGUUAUGUUAAUAAUAAUUGCGUUGCCUAAAGAAAUCAUCAUAAGAGAUGAAAAUGGUUUUAAACGCUCAACAGUGGCUGGAC